AAUUUAUCGUGUAGCCAAGGAUGAAUUGCCGGCGUUUCGCUGUUGAUGGGUACGUACGUCCUACGUUGGCGCCGGCAAGUCAUUUCAGGCUACAUGUUUGCCUCC
rnacentral:pre_miRNA from 1 species